rnacentral:rRNA from 1 species
UACGAAGGUCCCGAGCGUUGUUCGGAAUCACUGGGCGUAAAGCGUGCGCAGGCGGUUUUGUAAGCCAGGUGUGAAAUCCCCGGGCUCAACCUGGGAAUGGCAUUUGGGACUGCAAGGCUGGAGUGCGGCAGAGGAGACUGGAAUUCCUGGUGUAGCAGUGAAAUGCGUAGAUAUCAGGAGGAAUACCGAUGGCGAAGGCAGGUCUCUGGGCUGACACUGACGCUCAUGCACGAAAGCGUGGGGAGCAAACAGG